CCCUUAGAGUUUGAUCCUGGCUCAGGAUGAACGCUGGCGGCGUGCCUAACACAUGCAAGUCGAACGAAGCAAUUGAAGGAAGUUUUCGGAUGGAAUUCGAUUGACUGAGUGGCGGACGGGUGAGUAACGCGUGGAUAACCUGCCUCACACUGGGGGAUAACAGUUAGAAAUGACUGCUAAUACCGCAUAAGCGCACAGUACCGCAUGGUACAGUGUGAAAAACUCCGGUGGUGUGAGAUGGAUCCGCGUCUGAUUAGCCAGUUGGCGGGGUAACGGCCCACCAAAGCGACGAUCAGUAGCCGACCUGAGAGGGUGACCGGCCACAUUGGGACUGAGACACGGCCCAAACUCCUACGGGAGGCAGCAGUGGGGAAUAUUGCACAAUGGGCGAAAGCCUGAUGCAGCGACGCCGCGUGAGUGAAGAAGUAUUUCGGUAUGUAAAG
rnacentral:rRNA from 1 species